UCAGACAGUUGACGAAGCACCCUCUGUUUAUAUGCACAUAUGUCUUGUCUAACCUCAUUACUGUUUCUCUGGUUGUUGACGUCUUUCCAUCAAAAGUCGAAACAUUAUUGGUCGGUUGUUCUUCUUUUCAUCAGUCAUUUGGCCAUAACAAAACUGCUUCACCUGUAUACCAAGGCCUGUGAUGUGCCUUCUUUAUCCAAGUGGCCUUUACCUACCAAGUACCUGUAUUACCACAUGAUGUGGAAGAUCUUUUGAAACAGCAGGUGUUGUCAAGGCAGUAUUAUCGUAAGAUUAUACAAAGUUUAUUUGAAGACAUGAUACAAUUUACUCUAUAUCCAACAACAGCUGAGUAUACUGUGGUAGCCAGAGCUAGUUACCAAAUAUAAGAUCUUAGAAGAUAAAUCUGGAAAUUCAACAGGACAUGAUAAUACGUCAGGAGAAAACCAAGCCAGCAUCAAGCAUGUAACAGAUUUGAUGGACCUUUCAAAGAAGUGUAACCCAGACCAGAGCAUUAUGGUCGAUAAACUAGAGCAUACAAAGGAAUAUUGUUUAAAAUAUAUUGCCGAGCACUCUGUGAAAGACGUGUUGGAGAAAUUUCCUUUUCUUAAACUAGAAAAUGAGGU